rnacentral:lncRNA from 1 species
GAGGGUGAACGACAGGGGAGCCUUGCGUGCUGCAGUCCCGGGCGUUGCAACCGUCUGACAGGACUGAGCCACCGAACUGAGCUGAUAGGCUGUGCUCUGAUCACCUCGUGCCCUGAUUGGCUGGCAAAGCUUUGCGCAUCACCAACCUUCUGGCUGAACCUCAUCUGGGGUCCUUGCGCUCGCUCGCAGUCAGCCUCUUUCGUCUUGUGGGGCCUGCUUCCUGCAGAAACACUUAGGAAUGCAGGUCGGGCCUUCGCCCGCCCGUGUCUUCCUGGCCGCGGGGCCCACCCUCCUCCUGAGAGGGUUUGUAGACGGAGGCGGCGCUGCCCUCGGCUCUGGGCCGUCGUCGUGGUUCGUGCUGGGAGCCCGGCUCUUGGGGAGCUCGUCCCCUGGGGCCUGUCAGGCCUGCUCACCCAAGGCCCUUCCUCCUUCCUUAUCCAGAGCGGCUGUGCUCGCCUUCCCGCCUCCCCUGGACGCGCAGGUCCAGCCGGGCCGCCCCAGCCCCGCCUCUCCAGACGCUUCCGCCUGGGCACCGGCUCCGGGGCCUGCGGCAGAGACCUGGGCCUGCCGGGCGUGCAUCCAGGCCCUGAAGCCGCGAGGCCCAGGGUUCCUUUGGGGCCCCAGGCAGCCUCACAUUCCCCGGGAGCCCCUAGGAAUCCCCAGAGGCCACAGCCCACUGGCCGUCCUGCUUCCGCGCUGACCCCACCCGGAGUCUUACCCCAGUGGCCGUCUGACGCGCGCCUUCCACGCUGCCCACAGCCUGCGGUGGUCUCUCCCUUCACGGCCAGGAGCUCAGGCAGAGGCCUCGGCAGGGGGGGCUGCCCCGCGAGGCUUUGCUGGGGGGUCGCACCUGGGCUGGGUGGGGCUGGAAGGUCCAAGAUCCCCCCGCCUGUCACCUUGGUGUCUCCCACCUGGCCACUUUCUCUCUCCGUGGGACCCCGUCUCUCCCCACCUGGCCCCUUUCUCCCUCUGCGUGGCCCCCUCUCCCUCCACGUGGCCCCUUUCUCCCCCCACGUGGCCCCUUUCUCCCCCCGCGUGGCCCCCUUUCCCCCUCCGCAGGGUCCCUUUCUCCCUCCGCGUGGCCCCCCUUCUCCCCCGCGUGGCCCCCCUUCUCCCACACGUGGCCCCCCUUCUCCCCCGCAUGGCCCCCCUUCUCCCCCGCGUGGCCCCCCUUCUCCCCCCGCGUGGCCCCUUUCUCCCUCCGCGUGGCCUCUUUCUCCCCCCGCGUGGCCCCUUUCUCCCUCCGCAGGGUCCCUUUCUCCCCCCGCGUGGCCCCUUUCUCCCCCCGCGUGGCCCCUUUCUCCCUCCGCAGGGUCCCUUUCUCCCCCCGCGUGGCCCCCUUUCUCCCUCCGCAGGGUCCCUUUCUCCCUCCGUGUGGCCCCUUUCUCCCCGCGCGUGGCCCCCCUUCUCCCUCUGCGUGGCCCCCUUCUCCCCCCGCGUGGCCUCUUUCUCCCUCCGCGUGAGCCCGUCUCUCUCCAGGCCUUGUCUUGCCUGAGCUGGGUUACCAUGUGGUUACCCGGGUGCUCGCUGCUGAGCGGAGCAAGCUGCAGCCCAGCCUGGAUCCGAGGGGAGACCACGGGCCUCAGCGCUUGGCGGGAGCCUGGGCCGAGUGCACCAGGAGCGGCGGGGAGCAAACCCAGGACUCCCAACACCCGUGGCAACGACGCGAGUGUGUCCCUGCCGUUGCUGGAGUGUCACCAGUCAAAUGUCCGGACCCGACACCACCGCGGAGCAUCUGCCUCUGGGUUCAUCUCAGCGAUGAAGGCUGCGACCUCCUCACCCGCGGAUGGGGCUGCCACUGACCGGCCCGACCCCCUGGCCAGACCCUUGGAGGCUCCUGCAGCCCAGCGCCUAGGAGAGGCUGGUGGAGUCCUUGUCCCCGGUGGAGGGACAGGCAGCUGGGGAGCCUGGAGGGACCCUGGGCAGCAGGGAGGAGGGACGCAUUGGGUACAGCCGCCGGCAGGAAGCGGUUGCCUGCAUCCAGGCUGGAAGGUGCACCACCGCACCAUCACCAGCAGGAGGAGAAAAGAGCCUCUCCCGCCUGGCGACAGCUCAGCCGAUGAGAAGCCAGCCAAUGAGAAGCCCCUCUCCCGCCUGGCAACAGCUCAGCCAAUGAGAAGCCCCAAUCGGUUCAGUUCAGUCGCUCAGUUGUGUCCGACUCUUUGCGACCCCAGGAAUUGCAGCACGCCAGGCCUCCCUGUUCAUCACCAACUCCCGGAGUUCACUCAGACUCACAUCCAUCAAGUCAGUGAUGCCAUCCAGCCAUCGCAUCCUCGGUCGUCCCCUUCUCCUCCUGCCCCCAAUCCCUCCCAGCAUCAGAGUCUUUUCCAAUGAGUCAACUCUUCGCAUGAGGUGGUCAAAGUACUGGAGCUUCAGCUUUAGCAUCAUUCCUUCCAAAGAAAUCCCAGGGUUGAUCUCCUUCAGAAUGGACUGGUUGGACCUCCUUGCAGUCCAAGGGACCCUCAAGAGUCUUCUCCAACACCACAGUUCAAAAGCAUCAAUUCUUCGGUGCUCAGCUUUCUUCACAGUCCAGCCCUCACAUCCAUACAUGACCACGGGAAAAACCAUAGCCUUGACUACACGGACCUUAGUUGGCAAAGUAAUGUCUCUGCUCUUGAAUAUACUAUCUAGGUUGGUCAUAACUUUCCUUCCAAGGAGUAAGCGUCUUUUAAUUUAAUGGCUGCAGUCACCAUCUGCAGUGAUUUUGGAACCCCCCAAAAUAAAAUCUGACACUGUUUCCACUGUUUCCCCAUCUAUUUCCCAUGAAGUGAUGGGACCGGAUGCCAUGAUCUUCGUUUUCUGAAUGUUGAGCUUUAAGCCAACUUUUUCACUCUCCUCUUUCACUUCCAUCAAGAGGCUUCUGAGUUCCUCUUCACUUUCUGCCAUAAGGGUGGUGUCAUCUGCAUAUCUGAGGUGAUUGAUAUUUCUCCUGGCAAUCUUGAUUCCAGCUUGUGCUUCUUCCAGUCCAGCAUUUCUCAUGAUGUACUCUGCAUAGAAGUUAAAUAAACAGGGUGACAAUAUACAGCCUUGACGCACUCCUUUUCCUAUUUGGAACCAGUCUGUUGUUCCAUGUCCAGUUCUAACUGUUGCUUCCUGACCUGCAUACAGAUUUCUCAAGAGGCAGGUCAGGUGGUCUGGUAUUCCCAUCUCUCUCAGAAUUUUCCACAGUUGAUUGUGAUCCACACAGCCAAAGGCUUUGGCAUAGUCAAUAAAGCAGAAAUAGAUGUUUUCUGGAACUCUCUUGCUUUUUCCAUGACCCAGUGGAUGUUGGCAAUCUGAUCUCUGGUUCCUCUGCCUUUUCUAAAACCAGCUUGAACGUCAGGGAGUUCACGGUUCAAGUAUUGCUGAAGCCUGGCUUGGAGAAUUUUGAGCAUUACUUUACUAGCGUGUGAGAUGAGUGCAAUUGUGCGGUAGUUUGAGCAUUCUUUGGCAUUGCCUUUCUUUGGGGUUGGAGUGAAAACUGACCUUUUCCAGUACUGUAGCCACUGCUGAGUUUUCCAAAUUUGCUGGCAUAUUGAGUGCAGCACUUUCACAGCAUCAUCUUUCAGGAUUUGAAACAGCUCAACUGGAAUUCCAUCACCUCCACUAGCUUUGUUCGUAGUGAUGCUUUCUAAGGCCCACUUGACUUCACAUUCCAGGAUGUCUGGCUCUAGGUGAGUAAUCACACCAUCAUGAUUAUCUUGGUCUUGAAGAUAUUUUUUGUACACUUCUUCUGUGUAUUCUUGCCACCUCUUCUUAAUAUCUUCUGCUUCUGUUAGGUCCAGACCAUUUCUGUCCUUAUUGAGCCCAUCUUUGCAUGAAAUGUUCCCUUGGUAUCUCUAAUUUUCUUGAAGAGAUCUCUAAUCUUUCCCAUUCUGUUGUUUCCCUCUAUUUCUUUGCAUUGAUCACUGAAGAAGGCUUUCUUAUCUCUUCUUGCUAUUCUUUGGAACUCUGCAUUCAGAUGCUUAUAUCUUUCCUUUCCUCCUUUGCUUUUUGCCUCUCUUCUUUUCACAGCUAUUUGUAAGGCCUCCCCAGACAGCCAUUUUGCUUUUUUGCAUUUCUUUUCCACGGGGAUGGUCUUGAUCCUUGUCUCCUGUACAAUGUCACGAACCUCAGUCCAUAGUUCAUCAGGCACUCUAUCUAUCAGAUCUAGGACCUUAAAUCUAUUUCUCACUUCCACUGUGUAAUCAUAAGGGAUUUGAUUUAGGUCAUACCUGAAUGGUCUAGCGGUUUUCCCUACUUUCUUCAAUUUGAGUCUGAAUUUGGUAAUAAGGAGUUCAUGAUGUGAGCCACAGUCAGCUCCUGGUCUUGUUUUUGUUGACUGUAUAGAGCUUCUCCAUCUUUGGCUGCAAAGAAUAUAAUCAGUCUGAUUUCGGUGUUGACCAUCUGGUGAUGUCCAUGUGGAGAGUCUUCUCUUGUGUUGUUGGAAGAGGGUGUUUGCUAUGACCAGUGCAUUUUCUUGGCAAAACUCUAUUAGCCUUUCCCCUGCUUCAUUCCUCAUUCCAAGACCAAAUUUGCCUGUUACUCCAGGUGUUUCUUGACUUCCUACUUUUGCAUUCCAAUCCCUAUAAUGAAAAGGAAAUUUUUGGGUGUUAGGUCUAAAAGGUUUUGUAGGUCUUCAUAGAACCAUUUAACUUCAGCUUCUUCAGCGUUACUGGUUGGGGCAUAGACUUGGUUUACCGUGAUACUGAAUGGUUUGCCUUGGAGAUGAACAGAGAUCAUUCUGCCGUUUUUGAGAUUGCAUCCAAGUACUGCAUUUCAGACUCUUUUGUUGACCAUGAUGGCUACUCCAUUUCUUCUGAGGGAUUCCUGCCCGCAGUAGUAGAUAUAAUGGUCAUCUGAGUUAAAUUCACCCAUUCCAGUCCAUCUUAGUUCGCUGAUUCCUAGAAUGUCGACGUUCACCCUUGCCAUCUCCUAUUUGACCACUUCCAAUUUGCCUUGAUUCAUGGACCUGACAUUCCAGGUUCCUAUGCAAUAUUGCUCUUUACAGCAUCAGACCUUGCUUCUAUCACCAGUCACAUCCACAGCUGGGUAUUGCUUUUGCUUUGGCUCCACCCCUUCAUUCUUUCUGCAGUUAUUUCUCCACUGAUCUCCGGUAGCAUAUUGGGCACCUACUGACCUGGGGAGCUCCUCUUUCAGUGUCCUAUCUCUUUGCCUUUUCAUACUGUUUAUGGGGUUCUCAAGGCAAGGAUACUGAAGUGGCUUGCCGUUCCCUUCUCCAGUGGACCGCAUUCUGUCAGGCCUCUCCACCAUCACCCGCCCGUCUUGGGUGGCCCCACACGGCAUGGCUUAGUUUCAUUGAGUUAGACAGGGCUGUGCUCCUAGUGUGAUUAGAUUGACUAGUUUUCUGUGAGCAUGGUUUCAGUGUGUCUGCCCUCCUGAAACAUCUACCGUCUUACUUGGGUUUCUCUUAACUUGGGCGUAGGGUAUCUCUUCACGGCUGCUCCAGCAAAGCGCAGCUGCUCCUUACCUUGGAUGAGAGGUAUCUCCUCACCGCCGCCCCUCCCUACCUUGAACAUGGAAUAGUUCCUCUAGGCCCUCGGGCGCCCGAGCAGCCACCACUCCUUGGACAUGGGGUCGCUCUUCCCGGCCGCCGCCCCUGGCCUCGAGCUGGGGUAGCUCCUCUAGGCUGCUGCCCUUAACCUCGGACACGGGAUAACUGGAUGAGAAGUUGUGGGGAUGAGAAGCCCCAGCCUCCUCCAAUGGGCUACUUGUGUUAAAGCCCCGCCCACCUCCCCAUCUUCCUAUAAAAAGACGGUCCUCUCCCUGGCUUCCCACUUGCCCCCAGCUCAGCAAGUUCACCUUGCUCUUGCAGCCGGAGUGGCAACCCUUUGCUGCCUUGAGUAAAAAAUGACUAUUUAUUGUUUUAGUUUAGCAUGAUGAAAACCCUCCAAUAGCAAAGAGACAUGAAAAAUGUUGAUCAGCCAGGACUCAGACACACAAAUGGACCCUGCGAGGCACCAACUCCUGAUUCACAAAGGCAAGGGAGACCCACACUGCUGUGCGGAGGUCUUUCCAGAAAGAAAUUUUCAUACCCUUCAAGCUGACAAGUCACUUCUAGAAAAAUCUGUCCCAGGAUUCCAAGAUGGGGGGAGGUGGUUUUGAACAAAGAUGCUUACUGCAGCGAGAUUAACAAUAGCUGAAAGCUGGCGCAUCAGAACUGCCCAACGGUAGAAAAAUGUGUACUAAACCUUCUCAUAUGUCCGCACUCGGGGGCUUCUGGGCAGAGUGAGUUUGCAGUGUGGGAUCCCAGUGUGCUAACUGAGAAAUACAAAACGGUGAUUACUGUAUGUGUGCCAUGUGCCCAGUCGCUCAGCAGGUCUGAUUCUCUGCGACCCCACGGACUGUAGCCCGCCAGGCUCCUGUGUAAAGGGGGUUUCUCCAGGCAAGAAUACUGGAGUGGGUUGCCAUUUCCUCCUCCAGGGGAUCUCCCCAACCCAGGGAUUGAACCCAGGUCUCCCAGAUUGUGGGCAGAUUCUUUACUGUCUGAGCCUGAUUAUAAUAUACCUACUGUGUGUGUAUACCCACACGUGUACACACAUACACGUCA